CCUGGCCUCAAGAGAUCCUCCCACAUCAGCCUCCCAAAGUGUUGGAAUUACAAGAGUGAGCCACUGUGCCUGACCUAUAAUCUCUUUUUAAUAGAACCAUUCUACUGAACUUUGAAUUUUACCCUUGAGAUGACACGUAUGGAAAAGUUUUAAGCAGAUAAGUGACAUCAAAUUUAAUUUUCAGGUGAAUGACACCAGUGGUGAGUGAAGGGUGGGCUGAAGUGGGUUGAACCUCAUGGCAAAGAGCCAAGUGGAGGCUAUUUAGUAUUCAUGGAAGAGAUUUGAGGAACUGCACUGAGUAUAGAAAGGGAUGGAUUGAAGAGCUAUGAGUGAGGCAGAGUCACCAGUGCUUGGUAAGGGGGAGGGGCAGGGAACAACCUUACAUGCUCCUUAAGUUUCAUUCAUGGGCAAAUAGAGAACACAGUGGAAGGAGUAACUUUUGAGGAAAAGUUAAAGGUCAGUUUUGACUCUGUUGAGUGAAAGAUCUAAAGGACAACGGAGGAUAAUUCCAGAAGGUCUGAGGCUCAGAGGAGACAAAUGAAGUGGAGAAACAGACCUGGCUGCUGGCUGAUGGCUCAAGGAGAUGCUGUCAAAACUGGAGAAAAGAAAGCCCCUGGCACAUGCCAGGCAUUUCACUAAGUGUAUGCUACAUUCACACUUAUUGGUUAGUUUGUAUGGUAUAUAUGCUAAUUUCUAGAGUGGAUACAUAUCUAUCUACCUCAUCUCUUUUCCUUUUUCUUUCAGAAUAGACUUUUUUGAAUCAAUUUGGCUUUUCAUCAAUUCUUCGUGAUUGUGAGUCCGACUCCAAUGGGAGUUUCCUGCAAUGUCAGUCAUGCCUGGUGUUAAUUUGGGGCUAAUUUUGUUUUAUCAUACACAUUUAAAUCUCAUUCCCUGUUGUAGCUGGGGCUUCAUUUAGCCAAUAAGAAGGAUGUUUUGGUUCUGAAAGCCUAGCUGUCUGCUUAUCACCCAUUGCCCUCUUGUGAACUGUCCCAAGUUGUGUCUAAAGCCAACAACAAACCUAACUUGGUUAAGUGUUGUAAAAAAUGAGGAGCCUCAGAGUUGCAUGCCUUUUAGAAUUUACGAAAGCAGCCAAACCAAACAAACUUCAAAGUUGUUUUGCCAGGGAUAGAGGUCUUCAUCCUCCAAGCAGUGGGACAUCUGGAUUUCUGUAUGAAGCUUCCUUGGUUUGUUUCAGAAAUAAAUGCCAGCCCCAAGUGUCAGUAGUCUGUGAUGAAAUGGCAAAGAACUGAGAGACCCCGACAUGGCUGGAUAAUCACCAGAUCAUCUUUCACCACUACACUACUUCUAAAUCUGUCCUCCCCAGCUAGAGGAUUCUCCUGGAAUAUGGUGACUAUGAUGUAUCUCAUUUUAGGUACCUUAUACUGCAUGGAAUGGUGAGAAUCAAUAGAAGGAACCAGAACUAGGAUUCAUUUUCUAAUAAAUGUGUGGCUGGGAAAGAAGCCUGGGAUGAUGCUCAUCCCACUAAAACAGUCCUAUUCAAUUUAAGUUAAAUACAUUUUAUUUAUUAAAAAAAUUUU